UACGUAGGGGGCAAGCGUUGUCCGGAAUCAUUGGGCGUAAAGCGCGUGUAGGCGGUCCGGUAAGUCGGCUGUGAAAGUCCAGGGCUCAACCCUGGGAUGCCGGUCGAUACUGCCGGACUAGAGUUCGGAAGAGGCGAGUGGAAUUCCCGGUAUAGCGGUGAAAUGCGCAGAUAUCGGGAGGAACACCUAUGGCGAAGGCAGCUCGCUGGGACGUUACUGACGCUGAGACGCGAAAGCGUGGGGAGCAAACAGG
rnacentral:rRNA from 1 species